rnacentral:rRNA from 1 species
CAGUCGCCGCGGUAAAACGAAGGGUGCAAGCGUUACUCGGAAUUACUGGGCGUAAAGCGUGCGUAGGUGGUGGUUUAAGUCCGUUGUGAAAGCCCUGGGCUCAACCUGGGAAUUGCAGUGGAUACUGGGUCACUAGAGUGUGGUAGGGGAUAGUGGAAUUUCCGGUGUAGCAGUGAAAUGCGUAGAGAUCGGAAGGAACAUCUGUGGCGAAGGCGACUAUCUGGGCCAACACUGACACUGAGGCACGAAAGCGUGGGGAGCAAACAGGAUUAGAUACCCCUGUAGUCCCUGUCUCUUAUAC